rnacentral:rRNA from 1 species
GAUGAACGCUGGCGGCGUGCCUAAUACAUGCAAGUCGAGCGAACGGACGAGAAGCUUGCUUCUCUGAUGUUAGCGGCGGACGGGUGAGUAACACGUGGAUAACCUACCUAUAAGACUGGGAUAACUUCGGGAAACCGGAGCUAAUACCGGAUAAUAUUUUGAACCGCAUGGUUCAAAAGUGAAAGACGGUCUUGCUGUCACUUAUAGAUGGAUCCGCGCUGCAUUAGCUAGUUGGUAAGGUAACGGCUUACCAAGGCAACGAUGCAUAGCCGACCUGAGAGGGUGAUCGGCCACACUGGAACUGAGACACGGUCCAGACUCCUAAGGGAGGCAGCAGUAGGGAAUCUUCCGCAAUGGGCGAAAGCCUGACGGAGCAACGCCGCGUGAGUGAUGAAGGUCUUCGGAUCGUAAAACUCUGUUAUGAGGGAAGAACAUAUGUGUAAGUAACUGUGCACAUCUUGACGGUACCUAAUCAGAAAGCCACGGCUAACUACGUG